rnacentral:snRNA from 1 species
GGAUGUGAGGGCAAUCUGGCUGCGACAUCUGUCACCCAGGGUUGAUUUGGCUGAUCUGGCUGGCUAGGUGGGUUUCCCCUUCCUCCCUUCGGCCAAGGGUAUACAGGUAGCUGCACUUCCCUGCUAGAACCUCCAAACAAACUCUCAAGAAUAGGAAAGCUUCCAAAGGAGGGGAUGGGAUACGGAACUCUGGUGGUGGGAAUUGUGUGGAAUCAUACAAUCUUACAGUCUUGUCAAU